UAGUAUCAUCAUAGGGACGGUGAUCGAUCCGGAUAGAUCAAUACAUGGAUCAUUUCCUUUGGGAUAGAUGAGUCUUUAGUCUACAGUGUUGUUGAUCCUAUAAUUGAUUUUGAUGAUUCCAAAAUUUUGAAUAAUUAUAGUACCAAUCAUGUAUUUCAAUGAUAGAUGUAAGAUUUUUCAGAUGCUUACAAUGAAUAAAUCAUCUAUGGAAGAAAUCCUCUCAAGAUGCCAAGCCAUAAGACUUAAAAGAACAAGUUCUCACCAGUUUGGAUGGCUCGUUAUGAAAAAAAUGAAUUUGAAAG
rnacentral:lncRNA from 1 species